UUUGGGAUCUCCUGUUUGGGGUCUUAUCCCUUUCAGCCCUUUUUGGGGUCCUUUUGGGGUCCUUUUGGGGUCCUUUGGGUUCUUCUCUUUUGGGAUUUAUCCGGGAUCUUUUGGGGUCUGCGCCUUUUUGGGGCCAGGGGGUCUUUUGGGAUCCCCUCUUUGGGCCUUUAUCCCUUUCAACCCUUUUUGGGGUCCUUUUAGGAUCUUCUGACCGGGUUUUUUUGUUUUUGCUUCUUCUUUUUUCCCCUUUUUUGGCCUUUUUGACCCCAAAAAAGAGACCAACGGGACGGUGCCCGUGGAGGUCCGCGUCACCAAUAGGGUUUUUGAGGAGGCCUUCCAUGAUAACACAUCGCACCAAUAUCAGACCUUCGUCGAGGACUUCAAGAAGCAGGGGGGACCCCAAAAGGGAGAAUGGGACCCCAAAAGGGGGGGAGGGAC
ensembl:lncRNA